GCAGCGCCUCGGCCACCCGGCAGGGGCUGGGUUGCCUAGCAACGGCGGGGUCCUCCGUGGCUCGGCGGCGCUCCGGGCCUGAGGGGGAGAAAACCGCUUGAGGGGGAGGUUGGCGCGCGCCCGGGAGCCCGGCCUCUGCCUCCGAGGAGAGAUGAACACGGCCCUAACGCGGGUGGGGCCCGCGGCCGAGCGGCCCGCGCCGCCCGAGGAGGUGGAGGGCUCCGAGGCGGUCGGGAAGGAGCCGGCGGCGGACGCGGCCCCAGGGCCCAGCACGGCCUUCCGCCUCCUGGUGACCCGGCGGGAGCCGGCGGUGAGGCUGCAGUACGCGGUGAGCGGCCUGGAGCCGCUGGCGUGGUCCGAGGACCACCGCGUGUCGGUGUCCACGGCCCGCAGCAUCGCCGUGCUGGAACUCAUCUGCGACGUGCACAACCCGGGCCAGGACCUGGUUAUCCACCGCACAUCGGUGCCCGCGCCUCUCCACAGCUGCUUCCUCAAAGUUGGCUCAAAAAGGGAAGUUGCCGAGUGUAAACAGAGAUUUGCCACCUCUGAAGACCCCACAGUCAGUCAGACUUUCAUGUUGGACAGGGUGUUCAACCCUGAGGGGAAGGCUCUGCCACCACUGAGAGGGUUCAAGUACACUAGCUGGUCCCCCGUGGGCUGUGAUGCUAAUGGGAGGUGCCUCUUGGCCGCACUGACCAUGGACAAUCGCCUGACCAUCCAGGCUAACCUCAACAGACUGCAGUGGGUCCAGCUGGUGGAUCUGACAGAGAUUUAUGGAGAGCGUCUCUAUGAGACCAGCUACAGGUUCUCCAGAAAUGAGGCCCCGGAGGGCAAUCUCAGGGAUUUCGCCGAGUUUCAGAGGCGUCACAGCAUGCAGGCGCCAGUCCGGAUGGAGUGGUCAGGCAUCUGUACCACCCAGCAGGUCAAGCACAACAAUGAGUGCCGCGACGUGGGCAGUGUGCUCCUGGCUGUCCUCUUUGAAAACGGGAACAUUGCUGUGUGGCAAUUCCAGCUCCCGUUUGUAGGAAAGGAGUCUAUCUCUUCAUGCAACACAAUUGAGUCAGGAAUCAACUCUCCUAGUGUUUUGUUUUGGUGGGAAUACGAGCACAACAAUCGGAAAAUGAGUGGCCUUAUUGUGGGGAGUGCUUUUGGGCCUGUAAAAAUCCUUCCUGUCAAUCUUAAAGCAGUUAAAGGCUAUUUUACCUUAAGGCAGCCUGUAGUCUUGUGGAAAGAAAUGGACCAGUUGCCAGUCCACAGCAUCAAGUGUGUGCCACUGUACCACCCUUACCAGAAGUGCAGCUGUAGCUUAGUGGUGGCCGCACGAGGAUCCUAUGUGUUUUGGUGUCUUCUCCUGAUCUCCAAAGCAGGUCUGAAUGUUCACAACUCUCACGUCACGGGCCUGCACUCCCUGCCAAUCGUCUCCAUGACUGCUGACAAGCAGAAUGGGACGGUGUACACUUGCUCCAGUGACGGCAAGGUGAGGCAACUGAUCCCCAUUUUCACAGAUGUGGCGUUGAAGUUUGAGCACCAGCUGAUUAAACUCUCCGAUGUGUUUGGCUCCGUGAGGACACACGGGAUAGCCGUGAGCCCCUGUGGCGCAUACCUGGCCGUCAUCACCACUGAGGGCAUGGUCAACGGCCUCCAUCCCGUUAACAAAAACUACCAGGUUCAGUUCGUUACUCUCAAAACCUUUGAAGAGGCAGCUGCUCAGCUUCUGGAGUCUUCUGUCCAGAAUCUCUUCAAGCAGGUAGAUUUAAUAGACCUAGUACGCUGGAAGAUUUUAAAGGAUAAGCAUAUCCCUCAAUUUUUACAUGAAGCUUUGGAAAAAAAGAUCGAAAGCAGCGGGGCCACCUAUUACUGGCGUUUCAAACUCUUCCUCCUGAGGAUUUUAUACCAGUCGAUGCAGAAAACCCCUUCAGAAGCCUUAUGCAAACCCACUCACGAGGACUCAAAAAUCUUACUAGUUGACUCACCUGGGACGGGCAAUGCUGAGGAUGAACAGCAGGAGGAAGGCACUUCUUCCAAACAGAUUAGUAAGCAAGGCAAAGACGGUGAUCCAGAGGACCCCACAGAGGACUCACUCCCUCAAUCUGGGGAUACUGGAGGCCGAGAGCCAAUGGAAGAGAAACUCCUUGAAAUCCAGGGAAAAAUUGAAGCAGUGGAAAUGCACUUGACGAGGGAGCACAUGAAGCGAGUCCUGGGUGAAGUAUACCUACACACCUGGAUCACAGAAAACACUAGCAUCCCCACCAGGGGACUCUGUAACUUUCUGAUGUCUGACGAGGAGUAUGAUGACAGAACCGCACGGGUGCUGAUUGGACACAUCUCAAAGAAGAUGAACAAGCAGACCUUCCCUGAGCACUGUAGUUUGUGUAAGGAGAUCUUGCCCUUCACAGAUCGCAAGCAGGCCGUCUGCUCCAAUGGCCACAUUUGGCUCCGGUGCUUUUUAACCUACCAGUCCUGCCAGAGUUUGAUAUACAGAAGGUGUUUGCUCCAUGACAGCAUCGCUCGCCAUCCAAUUCCGGAAGACCCUGACUGGAUCAAGAGGUUACUACAAAGCCCCUGCCCUUUCUGCGACUCUCCUGUCUUCUGAGUGUCCAUGGUGGGAAGACAGAGUGUCAUCCAGCCUGAAGAGCUGGGACACACUGGCGCAAGCCUGGCCUCCACAAGUGGAAAGGUGCCCUUGUGAUGCUAAGAUGCAGAAGAAAUCAAGGCUCAUGGGUCUUGUCAGGAAGAACAUGGAGCUGCGUUUAUGGAGUCCCCGCUCCCUGGGCAGUGCUGAACCACAUCAGGCGAGUUGCCGUGGCUCGCAGAGUGAAAGGAGGAGCUGCUGUCAGUGUCUGGCUUCCACAGGUCCGUCCGUCCGUCCCCGCUGCUCCUGACCCGUCACUGCCUCGCCCCUCCUUCCAGGAGAGGCCCUAUUUCCAUCCCUUUUGUUCUCUCAGCCUUAGGACACAAAAUUAGGUUUGUGAUAAGACUUCUAAAAACUACAUUCCUAGAAGGCCUCCCUUCCUAUAAGAAACUAUUAAAUAGUAGUUUUUCUUGCUGAAGGUAAUAUAAUAGUGUUAGCUGUUAAGAGCUCAAUAAACUGUAUCUGAUUUUUUUCCUCAAAGUCUCCCUGUUGGAGUGCCCAGCACCUCCAGACUGAAUUCCAGGCAGAGUGGACUGCAUUUCAGCUCCCUGUCACCCCCCCCCCCCCACCUCCACAUCAGUUAGUCCAGAUAAGCAGAAAUUCAGGUUAUAUUCCAGGUCAGCAGGCCUCAGAUUUUUAAGUGAAAGGUAGAUUUUGCCCCUUUUUUUUCAUUUUAGAGAUUGGACAGCACAGGCAGCAAAGAGCUGGAUAGAUAAAUGCAUUUCUUUAUACUAACCCACCAUGGGCUGUCGAGUGUGAUCACCUCUGUGCACUCUCCUACUGCUCCCUAUGUGGGUGGAGCUCGGCAGGGCUGGUCACCACACAGUGGCUUGAGCAUCUAGCCUCCCCCUCAACAUUGUUGGACUGUUAAAAUGCCUCUAACGGAGCUCAAGUGAAGCAUUUCAGCUCUAGUGGAAGCAUCACCUGGCAGCUACAAGCAGAGUUUUGGGCUAUGUCUCAAGUCUAAUAGGUAUUGAGCUUUUGCACUGCUUGUUCUUGACCCUAAAAGAAGUUUUUGGAGCUAAGAUCUUCAUGUCUGCUGUUCAAACUGAUGUUAGAGUGCAUGCAAUUUGACUGUCAUAAUGAAUUAGGGCUUCCCUGGUGGUUCAGUCAGUAAAGAAUCUGCCUGCAAUGCAGGAGACUUGGGUUCAGUCCCUGGGUUG